rnacentral:rRNA from 1 species
CCUACGGGAGGCUGCAGUGAGGAAUAUUGGUCAAUGGACGAGAGUCUGAACCAGCCAAGUAGCGUGAAGGAUGACUGCCCUAUGGGUUGUAAACUUCUUUUAUAAAGGAAUAAAACGAGGCACGUGUGCCUUUUUGCAUGUACUUUAUGAAUAAGGAUCGGCUAACUCCGUGCCAGCAGCCGCGGUAAUACGGAGGAUCCGAGCGUUAUCCGGAUUUAUUGGGUUUAAAGGGAGCGUAGAUGGGUUGUUAAGUCAGUUGUGAAAGUUUGCGGCUCAACCGUAAAAUUGCAAUUGAUACUGGCAGUCUUGAGUACAGUUGAGGUAGGCGGAAUGCGUGGUGUAGCGGUGAAAUGCUUAGAGAUCACGAAGAACCCCGAUUGCGAAGGCAGCUUACUAAGCUGUGACUGACAUUGAUGCCCGAAAGUGUGGGUAGCAAACAGGAUUAGAUACCCCAGUAGUC